GGAAUUGUAGCGUAUAGGUGCAACUGUUCAACGGCUUUACAUACUCCAAGUUCCCUUGACUGAGGCUAUUGUCCAAAGAAGGUGCUAGACCUGUAGGAGUAGUGAAACCGCUUGAUACUGGUUGUUCCAUUGAGUCGAGUUGUUUGAAAUUGCAGCUCAAAGUAGGUGGUAAACCUCAUCUAAGGCUAAAUAUGACCAUGAGACCGAUAGCGAACAAGUACCGUGAGGGAAAGUUGCAAAGAACUUUGAAGAGAGAGUUCAAGAGGGCGUGAAACCGCUUAGAUGGAAGCGGAUAGAGUUAACAAAACACAACAGCAAUCAUCCGGUUUCAGAUGUUGAAUAUUUUGGCUGUUAACACUUACCUACUUUUCUGUUGCACUUGUGUAGCAGAGGUGGUUUGUGUUUCAGUUGAUGUGUACAAUGUUUGACCGGUGCUCUUGCUGUUGUUAUGCAUUGAGGGGCUUGCAGAGGUACGAAAGAUUGGAUCAAAGAGGCCUACAUUUUAUGAAUGUAGAAACCUUUGACUGAUUUUUUUUUUCGCUAUCCUUUGUAAGUUGUGCAAUUUUACUACGCCUGCUGAUAGCGUAAUUCAACUACAUUGUGGUAGAUGUAGAAUGAUUAAGAUUUGUCGCUUGUCGGCUUGUCUUAUCUUCCAUGUUUGCUUCUAUUGUUGGUUGUCAAUUACUGUAGGCGUUGGCUCCACAGUGUAUAAAAAAAGUUAAUCACCUAUCCGACCCGUCUUGAAACACGGACCAAGGAGUUUAGCAUAUAUGCAAGUCAUUGGGUGUUGAAAACCUAAAGGCGUAAUGAAAAUAAGUAUAUGGGAUCUGUAUGCAGUGCAAAUUGUAUACAGCGCACCAUAGUCCUGUUAAUAUUGCAUGCAAUUUAGCGGAGAUAGAGCAUAUAUGGUGAGACCCGAAAGAUGGUGAACUAUGCUUGAGC
rnacentral:rRNA from 1 species